rnacentral:lncRNA from 1 species
AGCUGCCUUGACUGAGUAAGUCAGAGAAGGCUUCCUGGAGGAGAGCGAAGGGUGUGGGGCUGGGUUGAGAUACAGGAAGAUCUGGGUUUGAAUUAUAGUUUGGCUGCUUCCUAGCUGUUUGAUCUUGGACAAAACUUUCAUUCAUUCUAUAUUUUUUGGAGUGUCUACUCCAUGCCAAUCAUGUGUGAAAUGUUGGGAUAACAAAGGCGAAUUCAAUCUGGCUCUCGUCCUCGGAGCUUAAGCAAAUCAUCUGGGGUAGCGUGACCCAUGCUACGAUGGAGGUGGAAUACGGGGCUGCAGGGCGGGGCCACAGGACAUAGUGGGCAGCUUAACCUCCUUGAGCCUCCCUAUCCCUAAUUCACGUGAUGGGGUUUGUAACCACUUCUCACAUCGUUGAGAGAAAAGGGUGAGCCUGACUCAGAGGUGUGGCAAAGGAAGGGCAGGGCAGGCUUUAAGGACAGGGACAGGGCUGUCAGAGGCUGAGGCUAGGGAGGGGCAGGAAGGGGUGUGAGGCAGGGCGGAAGAGAGCAGGGCCCUGGGCAGGUGCUGAGCCAGGUCCUGCAGGUCACCCAGUCGCUUGAGUCCACGAAUGCUGGAGGCAGGCACUGGAGAGCCAGGGUGGUUCAGCCGCAGCUCCUCUGAGCAGGGAGUCAAACAGGGCUGAAACAGACACCAGCUCUCCAGGACCAGCUGGUAAGAGCUUCUCCACUGCCCCCGAGCCCUGACAGGAGGACUCCCACAGUGUGCAUGGAAGCCCAGGGAGCUCGGGGGCUACAGAGGCACCAUUGGCUCUGGAGCCUGCAGCCCAGACAGCCCCCUCCAGAUGUAAUGGGGGAAGGAGCCAGGGACUGGGAGGAAUUCAGAGGUCAGAGGAGGAGCAGUAUCAGGAGAUACUGCCCUCCUGCAACUCCUCCUCCCAGCUGCUCUCCCCUCCUGCUAGUGCCCACAAUGGCUCCCAGCUGCCUCCUAUAAGGAAGCUUUAUUAGCCUGCAGCCUGUACUCCUCCACGCAGCAGAGCUGACAGGACCCCAUUAGUCAGCUUAUUCAACCCUUCCCCUGGUGCACAAACCCUUGCCAAGCUUUUCUGGCAUUUUGCUCAGCCUGCUUGGACCCUCCAAGCAGGUAGGAACUCACUGUUUCACAAAGCAGUGUUAUUAGAAAGGUUUCCCUGACCCUAGCCCCCCACAUCUAAUCUUUCUCAAAUGUGGGCAGACUUGUUCCUGGCCCCUUCUCAUUCCACCAGUGCACACAUGCACAUGCUCCCUCUCUCCAUCCAAGCUCCAGGAAUCAACCUCUACCCUGAACCAGGUCCCUGAGGACCACCACGUGGCUGCAACACAGCAGGUGUGGGGCAGGGCACAAGUGGGCUUAAGGGGGGUAUAAGGGCUGGCAGUUUGCUCAUUGAUUCACUCAACAAACAUGUACUGAGCACCUCUAAAGGGCCAGGGCCUGUGCUAGGCACUGCGGUGCCAUGGUGAGCAAAUCCAGAAAUGGACCCUGCCCUCUAGGAGUUCACAGUCCAGAGGAGAAGCCCGAUGCUGAACAGAGAAUCACAUCCGUGAGCAACACAAAAGGCAAGGCAAACCCUGGGCAGAUGCCCCCGGGACUGUGUGUUAUGGGCCUACAGGAAGCCUCUCCCAAUGAAAAAGCAAUUUUUCAGCCAGAACCUCCACCAGUGUCUUUCAAACUGUGAGUGGCAACCCAUUUGUGGGUCAUAAAAUCAAUUUAGUAGUUGUGACCUGAAUUACUUGUUAGUGAAAUAGAGAGGAAUUUACAACAUCACACUUAGGAAAUACUGUUUUGUGAAAUGUUAGUUUCAGUUAUCUAUCUAUCUAUCUGUCUGUCUGAGAGAUCAUGUUUAUUAGUUAAGAUAUUAAAUGUAUUUCUUACUGCAGGUCUCAAUCAAAAACCUCUGAAAGCCACUGGCCUAGAGUUAGAGGAAGAGUUAGCCAUGAGAAAUGGUGGUGACACAGGUUCCAAAAGAAGAAACAAUAGGAGCCUGGACCUGUGGCCUUCCCUGCCUCCACCUGGGCCUCAACCGUCACGACCACCUGGCCUUUGAGGUAGGGUUUGGAGAAGGAAGUCAGCCUAUUAUCAGGAGAAGGCUUGAAUUUCUAUAUUCAUAGCUUGUUUCUGUCACUUACUAGCCUUGUGAUCAUGGGCAACUUGUCUAAUCUCUGUCCCUCAGUUUCCUCCUUUGUAAAAUAGGUCUCAUAGAACUCAUCCCCAAAAGUCCUUGUGAAGAUUUAGUUUGUAAGCCAGAUGUCUGCAGACCUCCAGUAAAAGAAUAUGUUUUUGGUAUUAGUAUGUAUGUCCCAAAUAUUGCUUGGAAUAUGCUUAUACAAACAAAAAUCAUUUGUUUUUUAUCUGAAAUUCAAAUUUACCUGGAUGUCCUGUAUUUUAUCUGGAAACCCUACACAGAAAUCAAAUGGCUCACGCUGUGUCUCAGAGCUGCAACGAUCCAACGCCCUCCAUCCUUCAGAGGCUGUCUGAGUCCGGGGACACAACUCCCACCCUCCUCUCCUGCCAGCCGCGGCCCGUGGCUGCUCUCUUCACUUCGUCCCGCUUCGCCCCGACUGUGGAUCUACCCGCUCCCUUCUCCCUCAGUCCCCAAAGCACCAGACUCACAGGCCUGCUGUGUGACCCACUUUUACCGACCUUUCGGGGAGAGUAGAGGGCAUUUGUGACUCAGCUCAGAGCAGGAAACACAUCUCACGUCAACUGUCAGACAGCGCUGCUCCGAAUCCCAUCACAGUGCUCCAGCAGGGGGCGUCCUCACCGGCCGCGGCCACAGCCACGGCUCAACCCGGCCUAGCUCCCAGACACCCUCCUUCCACCGCCUGUUUUCCACCGUCCCCGCCUGCUCUUUCAAGCCAGCAGCAAACAACACCCUAAUCCGUGUCUUUAUUAUUCAAAGACCUUAAGCACUCUUUCCCACCUCGUUCCCAUCUUGAUUAUUUCAGGGAAUGAAUUAGGGAUUCACCUUUACAAUCAAAAAAGUUCUCUCAAAGCCAGGCUACUGGAGUUCUAAUUCUGCCUUCCCACUUUUACUAGCUGUGAAAUCUCAGGAAAGUUACUUAACCUCUCUCUGUCUCAUUUUCCUCAUCUUUAAAAAACAGGAUGAUAAUAUUUAGCUCCUAAGAUGGUUGUGAGGAUUUAAGUGAGCUGAUAUAUCCAAGAAUGUCUAGAACAGCGCGUGGCAGAAUGGGCAUUGCAUAUGGGUUUAAUCUUGUAACUGCCAUGUUUCACCAAUUCUAAGGUGUAUCUCGUUUCUCAUCAUAAGAGCUCUUCCGCUCGUGUGGCAGCUGGGAGUGGCCGUCAUUGCCUGCGCAUACCUAAACUUGGUCAGCAGCCAAGUGUUUUGUGAGACCUAAGAAAGGAAGAGCCCCAUAAGUAAAUGGAACUGUUGUGUUGUUUUAUUACCGAGAAAAGGGCAGAAUGAUUGCUAGUCACACGUGAAGCAAGAAAACCCCGGCAAUAAAGCUUGCAGAAUGAGUGGCUGAGGCUUGAAAAUAAAUGGUGGAAACAAUAGUGGACAAUCUUUUAAAGAAUGGCACAUUGCCAAUGCUCCUGAUGGCACAGAAGGUGACACCAUGCAGAAAAUCAAGGCUCUGAGUCAAAGAGGGUUUCAGAAAAAUUGGACUCUGAAUGUGAAGAAAUCUGGGGACUAUUUUAGCCAAUUUGUUUUGCCUAUAAUUUCCUUUUAUGCAUGCAAAAGAGCAAUUCUGAC